UAGGGAAUCUUCGGCAAUGGACGAAAGUCUGACCGAGCAACGCCGCGUGAGUGAAGAAGGUUUUCGGCUCGUAAAACACUGUUGUAAGAGAAGAAUGACAUUGAGAGUAACUGUUCAAUGUGUGACGGUAUCUUACCAGAAAGGAACGGCUAAAUACGUGCCAG
rnacentral:rRNA from 1 species